rnacentral:rRNA from 1 species
GCGCACCAGUCGAGAAUAGUCUACAAUGGACGAAAGUCUGAUAGUGCGACGCCGUGUGUGCGAUUAAUUCCUUCGGGAUGUAAAGCACUUUUCUAUGAGAUAAAGCUCUUUAGGUUAAUAGCUUAUUGAGACGGAUAUUAUUAUAGGAAUAAGCUCCGGCUAACUCCGUGCCAGCAGCCGCGGUAAUACGGAAGGAGCGAGCGUUGUCCGGAUUUACUAGGCGUAAAGGGCUAGUAGGCGACUAAUUAAGUUAUAUGUUAAAUCCCACGGCUCAACUGUGGUCCUGCAUGUAAUACUGGUUAGAUAGAGUACUGUAGAGGAAGGCAGAAUUCCUGGAGUAGCGGUGGAAUGCGCAGAUAUCAGGAAGAAUACCAAAAGCGAAGGCAGCCUUCUGGGCAGUUACUGACGCUGAAUAGCGAAGGUGUGGGUAGCGAACAGGAUUAGAUACCCGUGUA